AACGAACGCUGGCGGCAGGCUUAACACAUGCAAGUCGAACGCACCGCAAGGUGAGUGGCAGACGGGUGAGUAACACGUGGGGAUCUGCCCAAUGGUACGGAAUAGCUCCGGGAAACUGGAAUUAAUACCGUAUGUGCCCUUCGGGGGGAAGAUUUAUCGCCAUUGGAUGAACCCGCGUCGGAUUAGCUAGUUGGUGUGGUAAAGGCGCACCAAGGCGACGAUCCGUAGCUGGUCUGAGAGGAUGAUCAGCCACACUGGGACUGAGACACGGCCCAGACUCCUACGGGAGGCAGCAGUGGGGAAUAUUGGACAAUGGGCGCGAGCCUGAUCCAGCCAUGCCGCGUGAGUGAUGAAGGCCUUAGGGUUGUAAAGCUCUUUCGCCGACGAAGAUAAUGACGGUAGUCGGAGAAGAAGCCCCGGCUAACUUCGUGCCAGCCGCCGCAGUAACAC
rnacentral:rRNA from 1 species